rnacentral:lncRNA from 1 species
UUUUUUUUUGUCACCAAAGAUGAACAGGUUUUCUAGGCGUGUGAAAAAUUUCGUGGAAAUACUACAUCAGAGCAGCUCUGGACAAAAAAAUACAAAACUAGGAGUUUUGAGAAAUGCUCAACUUGGAGCAUUGGUUUUGUUUUUUCUUACCCGGGCUUUCCUGGUCCAAUGUCAUAUUCUCAUGAUUUUUCAUGCUUUAUCUUUGGAGUACAAAAAACAGUUUUUUUAUUUGCUUGCAAUUUUGUUUGAAUUUACUGGUCACCCGAAAGCAUAUGAGCUCGUGAUCAGCUAUGGAUUUUCGGAGCCACCUAAUGCUUGUAUUUUUACUUAUAUUUUGAUUGAAUGGCGUUGUUGAUAUUUACCUUAAGCUAUGUUUGUCAUUCUUAGCCCAAAGUCAAUGGAGGGACAUAGAAUCGUAGGCAGGAUUUCUGGUCAAGGUGGUUCAAUUGAUAUUCAAAAUAUAUUUACACCACAACACAACAUGCUAGCAGAGGCGGAGCUAUGCGUUAAUCUGACAGGGCCACUGCCCACCCCUAGCUUUGAAGAAAUUUAUGAUAUUUCUUAUUGGGGUUCCAUGGAAAAUAAAAAAAUUCUAUGCACACGCAAGAUCUAUCCAUGGAGAUGCAUAGCUACGAGAGGGAAGAGUGUGUCUACAUACACUCAUAGACCGUUUACGCAGAAGCAUUUAUCACGUGGUUGAUGUAGUCGUACUCUUUGCGAUCCGAUCACGAUCCAACCGACCUAGUGCCGAACGAACGGCACCUCCGAGUCUAGCACACGUGUGGCUUGAUGACGUCUCAUCCUUCUUGAUCCAGCAAGCGGGAGAGGAGAAGUAGAUGGAAUCACAACCAACAAGACGGCAUGGUGGUGAUGGUGGUGGUGUGAAAGUGCGUUAUAUCGACUAGAGGGGGGUGAAUAGGCGAUUUUUAUGAAUUCUUCACUAAGGAAUUUGCUGAUGAGGAAAUUCCUAAAUGAAGAACUACUUGCAGCGGAAUAAGUACUCAGAAAGGAACAUAACAGAACACAAGGGCAGUCAUCAUGAUGAAAUGAAGACAAGCACAGAGUAUAGAAAGCGUAAACACGGGAUAACACAAGAGAAGACAGACGGACUGAAGAAAUUGAACUGAGGAAGUUGAGAAAGUCUUCAGUUAAAAGUCUUCAAACAGAUAUGAACAGGCACAUAACAACAUACAUGAGGAAAUGAAAGGGUUGAGGAAAUAGAACCAGUUAGCUCGGCGAAGACAAUGAUUUGGUAGACCAGUUCCAAUUGCUGUCUCAGUUAUACAUCUGGUUGGAGCGGCUGAGUAUUUAAAUUCGAGGACACCCAGUCCCAGACACACAGUCCUCACCGUAUUCUCCUUGAGCUAAGGUCACACAGACCUCGCCCAAUCGCUCAUGGUAAGUCUUCAGGUGACUUCCGAACCUUCACAAACUUGGUCACUCGGUGAUCCACAAUUCCUCUUGGAUGCUCUAGACCUUGACGCCUAACCGUCUGGAAGAAGCACAGUCUUCAAAGGAAACAAGCGUCCGAUCCACACAGGAUCAAUCUCUUCAGUGAUGCUCAAUCACUUGGGGUUUUGUAGGUUUGGGUUUGGGUUUUCCUCACUUGAUGAUUUUCGCUCAAAGUCCUCGGAGGAUGGGUUGCUCUGAAAUGACAAGUGUCAGUUUCUCUCGGAGCAGCCAACCAGCUAGUGGUUGAAGGGGGCGGCUAUUUAUAGCCUAGGGAGCAGCCCGACAUGAUAAGACAUAAAUGCCCUUGUCUGAUAUGACCGUUAGGUGGGUAGAUAUUUUGGAACCGCUGGCGCGUAGCAUAGCAAUGGUCAGAAUUUUGACUAUCAAAAUCCUCAGGGCUAUCAUGUUCCUCACUGUGUGGGUAAUUCACACUGGUGAAUUCCUAACUCUUCAGUCAGAACAAAUUCCUCAGAGAUCAGAAGAACAUCGUCUCUGUUACUGAAGAAUAUGACUGAACUUUAUGAGAUUUCCAAUGGCUUCACUCGAAGGGAUUGGUAGGUGUAGGAUUUUGAGUUGAGCAUCACAUGGAAAAUUUUCCUUAGUAUUUCCUCGACCCCCUUUAACAGUACGAUGUUUCCUAUGACUCAAGAAAGAGAAAAUGAAACUAUAAAAAUAAAAGUCUUCACGCUUCAUGUUCCUCGAAAGAACACCAAGUCUUCAAGGUCACACCAAUUUCUUCACUUUCAAAGUCUUCAGAAAGUCUUCAAAUGAAGAACUUCAUUUUUAGGGGUCGACAUUCUCUGUAAAUAUCAAACUCCUCAUAGAAUUAUAUACCUGUGUACACUCACAAACGCAUCAGUCCCUUAACCUAUAAGUCUUCAAUACACCAAAAUCACUAAGGAGCACUAGAUGCACUUACAAUCUCCUCCUUUUUGGUGAUUGAUGACAAUAUAGGUUAAGUUUUCAACGGGGAUAAACAUAUGAAGUGUAACUAAUGAUAUUGAGGAAUUUGAUUGCAAGAUAUAGAAGAACUCCCCCUGAAAAUGUGCAUAGUGAGGAAUUAGCUUUUGAAGCAAUGCACACUUGAAGAGUAAAAUCAUGGAGAUCCCCCCCCCCCCCUAUAUCUUGUAAUUCAUACACGCAUUUGACAUAUAAUAUGAGGAAUUUGAAAUGCAUGAUGAAAUAUGGUGACUGAUGUAAUUCAGCAUGCAUGCAUUAACAUAAAUGAGGAAUAAUCAUGUAGAAGAACACAGAAAAAGUAUCAAGCCACCAUAGAGUUUAAGAUUACAACUCAAUCUAGCAAAGUCAUGAGAAGAAUGAGAGUUGUAACUUAGCAAAAAAACGCCCAUAUAUAGACCCGCUUGAAGACUAACUCAAAUUUCUCCCCCUUUGUCAUCAAAUGUCCAAAAGGGUUGAAACUGAGGACUAACGCCCCUGAAGAAUAUCAUGAUGAUGGAGAAGCGCUAGCGUUGUCAGGGUCUUGAGUCGUUGUAGGGCCUGCUGCAGUGUCGUCCAAGUCUUCAUGCUCGUCCAUGUCGCGCGAUGAAGAAUAUGAGCUGGCCACCAAGGGAGGAACCUUGUGUUGGGGAACGUAGUAAUUUCAAAAAAAUUCCUACGCACACGCAAGAUCAUGGUGAUGGCAUAGCAAUGAGAGGGGAGAGUGUUGUCCACGUACCCUCGUAGACCGUAAGCGGAAGCGUUAGCACAACGCGGUUGAUGUAGUCGUACGUCUUCACGAUCCGACCGAUCCAAGUACCGAACGUACGGCACCUUCGAGUUCAGCACACGUUCAGCUCGAUGACGAUCCCCGGGCUCCAAUCCAGCAAAGCUUCGGGGAUGAGUUCCGUCAGCACGAUGGUGUGGUGAUGAUGAUGAUGUUCUACCGGCGCAGGGCAUCGCCUAAACUCCGCGACGAUAUGACCGAGGUGGAAUAUGAUGGAGGGGGGCACCGCACACGACUAAGGAAUGAUCCGUAGAUCAACUUGUGUCUCAUGGGGUGCCCCCCUGCCCCCGUAUAUAAAGGAGGGAGGAGGGAGGUGCGGCCGGCCUAGGAGGGGGCGCGCCAAGGGGAGUCCUACUCCCACCGGGAGUAGGACUCCCUCCUUCCUUGUUGGAGUAGGAGAAGUGGAAAGAGGGGGAGAGGAAAAGGAAAAGGGGGCUGCCCCCUUGUCCAAUUCGGAUCAGAGGGGGGGCGCAGGCCUCUUUCCUUUUGGCCUCUCUCCUCUAUUCCCGUAUAGCCCAAUAAGGCCCAUAUACUUCCCUGCGAAUUCCCGUAACUCUCCGGUACUCCAAAAAAUACCCGAAUCACUCGGAACCUUUCUGAAUUCCGAAUAUAGUCGUCCAAUAUAUCGAUCUUUACGUCUCGACCAUUUCGAGACUCCUCGUCAUGUCCCUGAUCUCAUCCGGGACUCCGAACUCCUUCGGUACAUCAAAACUCAUAAACUCAUAAUAUAACUGUCAUCGAAACCUUAAGCGUGCGGACCCUACGGGUUCGAGAACAAUGUAGACAUGACCUAGAACUAUUCUUGGUCAAUAACCAAUAGCGGAACCUGGAUGCCCAUAUUGGCUCCUACAUAUUCUACGAAGAUCUUUAUCGGUCAAACCGCAUAACAACAUACUUUGUUCCCUUUGUCAUCGGUAUGUUACUUGCCCGAGAUUCGAUCGUCGGUAUCUAAUACCUAGUUCAAUCUCGUUACCGGCAAGUCUCUUUACUCGUUACGUAAUGCAUCAUCCCAUAACCAACUCAUUGGUCACAUUGCUUGCAAGGCUUAUAGUGAUGUGCAUUACCGAGAGGGCCCAGAGAUACCUCUCCGACAAUCGGAGUGACAAAACCUAAUCUCGAAAUACACCAACUCAACAUGUACCUUCGGAGACACCUGUAGUACUCCUUUAUAAUCACCCAGUUACGUUGUGACGUUUGGUAGCACCCAAAGUGUUCCUCCGGUAAACGGGAGUUGCAUAAUCUCAUAGUUACAGGAACAUGUAUAAGUCAUGAAGAAAGCAAUAGCAACAUACUAAACGAUCAAGUGCUAAGCUAACGGAAUGGGUCAAGUCAAUCACAUCAUUCUCCUAAUGAUGUGAUCCCGUUAAUCAAAUGACAACUCUUUUGUCCAUGGUUAGGAAACAUAACCAUCUUUGAUAAACGAGCUAGUCAAGUAGAGACAUACUAGUGACACUAUGUUUGUCUAUGUAUUCACACAUGUAUUAUGUUUCCGGUUAAUACAAUUCUAGCAUGAAUAAUAAACAUUUAUCAUGAAAUAAGGAAAUAAUAAUAACUUUAUUAUUGCCUCUAGGGCAUAUUUCCUUCAGUCUCCCACUUGCACUAGAGUCAAUAAUCUAGUUCACAUCGCCAUGUGAUUUAACACCAAUAUUCACAUCUGUAUGUGAUUAAUACCCAUAGUUCACAUCGUCAUGUGAUCAACACCCAAAAGGUUUACUAGAGUCAAUAAUCUAGUUCACAUCUCUAUGUGAUUAACACCCAAAGAGUACUAAGGUAUGAUCAUGUUUUGCUUCUGAGAGAAGUUUAGUCAACGGAUCUGUCAUAUUCAGAGUCGUAUGUAUUUUGCAAAUAUUCUAUGUCCACAAUGCUCUGCAUGGAGCUACUCUAGCUAAUUGCUCCCACUUUCAAUAUGUAUCCAGAUUGAGACUUAGAGUCAUCUGGAUUGGUGUAAAAGCUAGCAUUGUUGUAACCUUUUACGACGGGCUCUUUUAUCACCUCCAUAAUCGAGAAACAUCUCCUUAGUCCUCACUAAGGAUAUUCUUGACCGCUGUCCAGUGAUCUACUCUUAGAUCAAAAUUGUAUUCCUUUGUCAAACUCAGAGCAAGGUAUACAAUAGGUCCGGUUCACAGCAUAGCAUACUUUAUAGAACCUAUGACUGAGGCAUAGGGAAUGAAUUUUCAUUCUCUUUCUAUUUUCUGCCAUGGUCGGGUCUUGAGUCUUACUCAACUUCAUACCUUUGCAUCACAGGCAAGAACUCCUUCUUUGACUGUUCCAUUUUGUACUAUUUCAAAAAUUUAUCAAGGUAUGUACUCAUUGAAAAAUCUUAUCAAGCGUCUUGAUCUAUCUAUAUAGAUAUUGAUGCUCAAUGUGUAAGCAGCUUCACCGAGGUCUUGCUUUGAAAAACUCUUAUUCAAGUAUCCUUUCAUGCUAUCCAGAAUUUCUAUAUCAUUUCCAAUCAACAAUAUGUCAUCCACAUAUAAUAUUAGAAAUGCUACAGAGCUCCCACUCACUUUCUUGUAAAUACAGGCUUCUUCAAAAGUCUGUAUAAAACUAUAUGCUUUGAUCAACUCAUCAAAGCGUAUAUUCCAACUCCGAGAUGCUUGCACCAGUCCAUAGAUUGAUCGCUGGAGCUUGCACAAUUUGUUAGCACCUUUAGGAUUGACAAAACCUUCUGGUUGCAUCAUAUACAACUCUUCUUUAAGAAAACCAUUAAGGAAUGCAGUUUUGACAUCCAUUUGCCAGAUUUCAUAAAUGUGGCAAUUGCUAACAUGAUUCGGACAGACUUAAGCAUUGCUACAGUUGAGAAAAUCUCAUUGUAGUCAACACCUUGAACUUGUCGAAAAACCUUUUCUUAACAAGUCGAGCUUAGUAGAUAGUAAUACUACUAUCAGUGUCCGUCUUCCUCUUGAAGAUCCAUUUAUUUAACAUGGCUUGCUGAUCAUCGAGCAAGUCAAUCAAAGUCCAUACUUUGUUCUCAUACAUGGAUCAUAUCUCAGAUUUUAUGGCCUCAAGCCAUUUCGCGGAAUCUGGGCUCAUCGUCGCUUCCUCAUAGUUCGUAGGUUCAUCAUGGUCAAGUAACAUGACUUCCAAAAUAGGAUUACCGUACCACUCUAGUGCGGAUCUUAUUCUGGUAGACCUAUGAGGUUUUUGUAGUAACUUGAUCUGAAGUUUCAUGAUCAUCAUCAUUAGCUUCUUCACUAAUUGGUGUAGGAAUCACUAGAACUGAUUUCUGUGAUUAACUACUUUCCAAUUCGGGAGGAGGUACAAAUUACCUCAUCAAGCUCUUACUUUCCUCCCACUCACUUCUUUCGAGAGAAACUCCUUCUCUAGAAAGGAUCCAUCUUAGCAACGAAUAACUUGCCUUCGGAUCUAUGAUAGAAGGUGUACCUAAUAGUUACCUUUGGGUAUUCUAUGAAGACGCACUUCUCCGAUUUGGGUUCGAGCUUAUCAGGUGAAAACUUUUUCACAUAAUCUUCACAACUCCAAACUUUAAGAAACGACAGCUUAGGUUUACUAUUUAACCAUAGUUCAUACGGUGUCGUCUCAACGGAUUUAGAUGGUGCCCUAUUAAACGUGAAUGCAACUGUCUCUAAUGCAUAACCCCAAAACGAUAGUGGUAAACCGAUAAGAGACAUCAUAGAUUGCACCAUAUCCAAUAAAGUGCGGUUACGACGUUCGGACACACCAUAACGUUGUGGUGUUCCAGGUGGCGUGAGCUGUGAAACUAUUCCACAUUGUUUUAAUUGAAGACCAAACUCGUAACUCAAAUAUUCAUCUCCGCGAUCAGAUCGCAUAAACUUUAUUUUCUUGUUACGAUGAUUUUUCCACUUCACUCUGAAAUUCUUUGAACCUUUCAACUAUUUCAGACUUAUGUUUCAUCAAGUAGAUAUACCCAUAUCUGCUCAAAUCAUCUGUGAAGGUCAGAAAAUAACGAUACUUGCCACGAGCAUCAACACUCAUUGGAUCGCAUACAUAGGUAUGUAUUAUUUCCAAUAAGUCAGUAGCUCGUUCCAUUGUUCCGGAGAACGGAGUUUUAGUCAUCUUGCCCAAUAGGCACGGUUCGCAAGCAUCAAAUGAUUCAUAACCAAGUGAUUCCAAAAAUCCAUCUUUAUGGAGUUUCUUCAUGCGCUUUACACCGAUAUGACCCAAACGACAGUGCCACAAAUAAGUUGCACUAUCAUUAAUGCAUCUUUUGGUUUCAACAUUAUGAAUAUGUGUAUCACUACGAUCGAGAUCCAACAAACUAUUUUCAUUGGGUGUAUGACCAUUGAAGGUUUUAUUCAUGUAAACAGAACAACAAUUAUUCUCUGACUUUAAAUGAAUAACCGUAUUGCAAUAAACAUGAUCAAAUCAUAUUCAUGCUCAACGCAAACGCCAAAUAACAUUUAUUUAGGUUUAACACUAAUCCCGAAAGUAUAGGGAGUGUGCGAUGAUGAUCAUAUCAAUCUUGGAACCACUCCCAACACACAUCGUCACUUCACCCUUAACUAGUCUCUGUUUAUUCUGUAAAUCCUGUUUCGAAUUACUAAUCUUAGCAACCGAACAUGUAUCAAAUACUCAGGGGCUACUAUAAACACUAGUAAGGCACACAUUAACCUGUAUAUCAAAUAUACCCUUGUUCACUUUGCCAUCCUUCUUAUCCACCAAAUUCAGGGCAUUUCCGCUUCCAGUGACCAUUUCCUUUGCAGUGUAAGCACUCAGUUUCAGGCUUUGGUCCAGCUUUGGUCUUCUUCACGGGAGUGACAACUUGUUUGCCAUUCUACUUGAAGUUUCCCUUUCUUUCCCUUUACCCUUUUUCUUGAAACUAGUGGUCUUGUCAAUCAUCAACACUUGAUGCUCUUUCUUGAUUUCUACCUUCGUCGAUUUCAACAUCACGAAGAGCUCGGGAAUCGUUUCCGUCAUCCCUUGCAUACUAUAGUUCAUCACAAAGUUCUAGAAACCCAGUGAUGGUGACUAGAGAAUUCUGUCAAUCACUAUCUUAUCUGGAAGAUUAACUCCCACUUGAUUCAAGCGAUUGUAGUACCCAGACAAUCUGAGCACAUGCUCACUAGUUGAGCGAUUCUCCUCCAACUUUUAGCUAUAGAACUUGUUGGAGACUUCAUAUCUCUCAACUCGGGUAUUUGCUAGAAAUAUUAACUUCAACUCCUGGAACAUCUCAUAUGGUCCAUGACGUUCAAAACGUCUUUGAAGUCCCGAUUCUAAGCCAUAAAGCAUGGUGCAUAAAACUAUCAAGUAGUCAUCAUAUUGAGCUAGCCAAAUGUUCAUAACGUCUGCAUUUGCUCCUGCAAUAGGUCUGUCACCUAGCGGUGCAUCAAGGACAUAAUUCUUCUGUGCAGCAAUGAGGAUAAACCUCAGAUCACGGAUCCAAUCCGCAUCAUUGCUACUAAUAUCUUUCAACACAAUUUUCUCUAGGAACAUAUCAAAAUAAACAUAUGAAAGCAACAACGCAAGCUAUUGAUCUACAACAUAAUUUGCAAAAUACUACCAGGACUAAGUUCAUGAUAAAUUAAAGUUCAAUUAAUCAUAUUACUAAAGAACUCCCACUUAGACAGACAUCUCUCUAGCCAUCUAAGUGAUUACGUGAUCCAAAUCAACUAAACCAUGUCCGAUCAUCACGUGAGAUGGAGUAGUUUCAAUGGUGAACAUCAUUAUGUUGAUCAUAUCUACUAUAUGAUUCAUGCUCGACCUUUCGGUCUCCGUGUUCCGAGGCCAUAUCUGUAUAUGCUAGGCUCGUUAAGUUUAACCCGAGUAUUCCGCGUGUGCAACUGUUUUGCACCCGUUGUAUCUGAACAUAGAGCCUAUCACACCCGAUCAUCACGUGGUGUCUCAGCACGAAGAACUUUCGCAACGGUGCAUACUCAGGGAGAACACUUCUUGAUAAUUAGUGAGAGAUCAUCUUAAAAUGCUACCGUCAAACAAAACAGAAUAAGAUGUAUAACAAAUAAACAUCAUAUGCAAUCAAAAUAUGUGACAUGAUAUGGCCAUGAUCAUCUUGCGCCUUUGAUCUCCAUCUCCAAAGUACUGUCAUGAUCUCUAUCGUUACCGGCACGACACCAUGAUCUUCAUCAUCUUGAUCUAUAUCAAUGUGUCGUCACAUGGUCGUCUCGCCAACUAUUGCUCUUGCAACUAUUGCUAUCGCAUAGCGAUAAAGUAAAGCAAUUAUUUGGCACUUGCAUCUUAUGCAACAAAGAGACAACCAUAGAGCUUCUGCCAGUUGCCGAUAACUUCAACAAAACAUGAUCAUCUCAUACAACAACUUAUAUCUCAUCACGUCUUGACCAUAUCACAUCACAACAUGCCCUGAAAAAACAAGUUAGACGUCCUCUACUUUGUUGUUGCAAGUUUUACGUGGCUGCUACGGGCUGAGCAAGAACCGUUCUUACCUACGCAUCAAAACCACAAUGAUAGUUCGUCAAGUUAGUGUUGUUUUAACCUUCGCAAGGACCGGGCGUAGCCACACUCAGUUCAACUAAAGUUGGAGAAACAGACACCCGCUAGUCACCUGUGUGCAAAGCACGGCGGUAAAACCAGUCUCGCGUAAGCGUACGCGUAAUGUCGGUCCGGGCCGCUUCAUCCAACAAUACCGCUGAACCAAAGUAUGACAUGCUGGUAAGCAGUAUGACUUGUAUCGCCCACAACUCACUUGUGUUCUACUCGUGCAUAUAACAUCAACGCAUAAAACCUAGGCUCGGAUGCCACUGUUGGGGAACGUAGUAAUUUCAAAAAAAUUCCUACGCACACGCAAGAUCAUGGUGAUGGCAUAGCAACGAGAGGGGAGAGUGUUGUCCACGUACCCUCGUAGACCGUAAGCGGAAGCGUUACCACAACGCGGUUGAUGUAGUCGUACGUCUUCACGAUCCGACCGAUCCAAGUACCGAACGUACGGCACCUCCGAGUUCAGCACACGUUCAGCUCGAUGACGAUCCCCGGGCUCCGAUCCAGCAAAGCUUCGGGGAUGAGUUCCGUUAGCACGACGGCGUGGUGACGAUGAUGAUGUUCUACUGGUGCAGGGCUUCGCCUAAACUCCGCGACGAUAUGAUCGAGGUGGAAUAUGAUGGAGGGGGGCACCGCACACGGCUAAGGAAUGAUCCGUAGAUCAACUUGUGUCUCAUGGGGUGCCCCCUGCCCCCGUAUAUAAAGGAGGGAGGGGGGAGGUGCGGCCGGCCUAGGAGGGGGCGCGCCAAGGGGAGUCCUACUCCCACCGGGAGUAGGACUCCCUCCUUCCUUGUUGGAGUAGGAGAAGUGGAAAGAGGGGGAGAGGGAAAAGGAAAAGGGGGCUGCCCCCUUGUCCAAUUCGGAUCAAAGGGGGGGCGCAGGCCUCUUUCCUUUUGGCCUCUCUCCUCUAUUCCCGUAUAGCCCAAUAAGGCCCAUAUACUCCCCGGCGAAUUCCCGUAACUCUCCGGUACUCCAAAAAAUACCCGAAUCACUCGGAACCUUUCCGAACUCCGAAUAUAGUCGUCCAAUAUAUCGAUCUUUACGUCUCGACCAUUUCGAGACUCCUCGUCAUGUCCCUGAUCUCAUCCGGGACUCCGAACUCCUUCGGUACAUCAAAACUCAUAAACUCAUAAUAUAACUGUCAUCGAAACCUUAAGCGUGCGGACCCUACGGGUUCGAGAAUAAUGUAGACAUGACCUAGAACUAUUCUUGGUCAAUAAUCAAUAGCGGAACCUGGAUGCCCAUAUUGGCUCCUACAUAUUCUACGAAGAUCUUUAUCGGUCAAACCGCAUAACAACAUACUUUGUUCCCUUUGUCAUCGGUAUGUUACUUGACCGAGAUUCGAUCGUCGGUAUCUAAUACCUAGUUCAAUCUCGUUACCAGCAAGUCUCUUUACUCGUUACGUAAUGCAUCAUCCCGUAACCAACUCAUUGGUCACAUUGCUUGCAAGGCUUAUAGUGAUUUGCAUUACCGAGAGGGCCCAGAGAUACCUCUCCGACAAUCGGAGUGACAAAACCUAAUCUCGAAAUACGCCAACUCAACAUGUACCUUCGGAGACACCUGUAGUACUCCUUUAUAAUCACCCAGUUACGUUGUGACGUUUGGUAGCACCCAAAGUGUUCCUCCGGUAAACGGGAGUUGCAUAAUCUCAUAGUUAUAGGAACAUGUAUAAGUCAUGAAGAAAGCAAUAACAACAUACUAAACGAUCAAGUGCUAAGCUAACGGAAUGGGUCAAGUCAAUCACAUCAUUCUCCUAAUGAUGUGAUCCCGUUAAUCAAAUGACAACUCUUUUGUCCAUGGUUAGGAAACAUAACCAUCUUUGAUAAACGAGCUAGUCAAGUAGAGGCAUACUAGUGACACUAUGUUUGUCUAUGUAUUCACACAUGUAUUAUGUUUCCGGUUAAUACAAUUCUAGCAUGAAUAAUAAACAUUUAUCAUGAAAUAAGGAAAUAAAUAAUAACUUUAUUAUUGCCUCUAGGGAAUAUUUCCUUCACCUUGACCUUCUUGUAUCUCUUCGGAGGAGGAGCAGACCAGUCAAAGUCUUCCUUGAAGCCCAUUUGCUUCAGAUCUUCUUCACCAUAUAGAUGUGACAGAAUAGCCCAGGUGCGAUCAAAUACUUCAUGGAGGUAGUAGUGGUUUUUCUUCACUGCAUUAUGUGUGGAAGUCAUGUUGUGAAGAAUAGAACCAAACUGACGCUUAACCCACUUGUGAUUUCGAUCGACCUUCUGGUGAAGACUUAUUAGCAGUUCACGGUCAGUCAUCACACGAGGAGCAGUAGCUUGAGGACUUGACUUUGGAGCAUCCGCAGCAGAAUCAUGUGUGGCAGAGUCAUCAUUGGUGGAGUAGGAUGCAGCUUUGCGGAACUGACCAUCCAAUGGACGAGUGCCUUCAUCGAUCACAGCUGGUGACUUGCCCUUCUCAUCGGAUGAGGAAAUUGUUCGCUUGAGGACUUAAAUAGGGGGCAAGUAGCUGAGGUGAUUCUGAAAAUCUGCCUUGUAGUUGAGUGAAGACCUUGUUCUGAGGAAUCUCAUGAUCCACGGUGCGUAAGGCUUCAGCUCAAAUGGUGAAAGUGCAACAUUCGCUAGAGUCCUCAUGAAGAAAUCGUGAUAAUUUAUGGGGAUGCAAUGCAUGAUAUUGAAAAGCAUAUUCUUCAUCAUUCUGAUAAUUUCUUCAUCGGAUGAGUCAUGCCCUUUGAUGGUACUUAUGGUCUUCAUCAGAAUGCGGUAGAUGGUUCUGGGCACAUAGAGCAAUUUCUUCACGAGGAAUUUGGUCCUUGGAGCUUGUCCUGGCUUCAGCGGCUUCAUGAGCACUUGCAUGUAAUGAUCAGUAAGUUCAGGUUCAUCAUACAGACAGCGAGCAUCGUCAGGUGGAGGACUGAUAGGUAAGGCCCGAAGCAAUUCAGUUGCUGGUGCCUUGUAAUGAGUGUUUUCAGUCAUCCAGUCCAACACCCACGAGUUGACGUCAGCAGCAUCGCCUAUGAUAUGAAAGUUGCAUAGAACUGAAGAAUAAGCUCUUCAUUCCAAUCAACUAUGUCUGAGCAGAAAUUUAGCAAGCCAGCGUCAUGAAUCAUGCUGGGGACUUGGGAGAAGCAAGGCAGUGAUUCCAUGUCCACAUGAGGAAUAUGCUCAUGAUCGAAGACUUUGUCUUUGUUGAAGAGCACUAAGGAAUAGAAGUUGGCCUGACUAGCAGUCCAGAAAUGCUUCCUUCUAAGACGAGCAUUGUCAUAGGGGUUGAAAUCCGUGAAGAAUACGUGCUUGCCGAAGAAGUCAUCAGCCUUGAAUUUUUGCUUCUUAGAGAAGGGGUCCUUUGGCUUGGGCUGAGGAGUAUCAGUCAGUUACAUUACCACCUCAGGGAUCGCAAUCUUAGGUUCCUUAGGCUGAGGAAUUUCAGGCUCUUCAGCAGUUUCAGCCUCGGUUGUCAAUUCUUCAUUUACAGUUUCUUCAGCACUAGUGGCUGGAAUUUCUUCAUGAACACUUGGGGUUGCAUGUGGUUCUUCAGAUCCCAUUUCCACUUCAGUGGCGGCAAGGGACUGAGGAAUAACUUGAAGGGGAGUGAACAUUGGAGAGUUGGGAUGUUGACUGUCCCAAAAUUCAUCAUUUAGCACAGGUGUGGUACAGCCAAUGUCCACAUCCUCUUCUUCAAUUUCUUCAACACCUACCUCUUUAGCAGUAAACUGAGGCAUAGGUCAGGAAAUGACUGGGGUUGAAGGGAUCUCAUCCACUUCAAUUUCUUCAUCCAACUGCUCUGUCGAAGCAGCAGAAGGAGUUUCUUCAUCAGAUUCCUCAGGAAUCUCAUAUUCUUCACCAAAAGGAACAAGGUCCUUUGAUGGCAUUGAAGAGACGGGAACGGCAUCAAUUGGAUUGUCAAUUGAACUGAUCAGAGUCUUCAUCUUCUUUGGAGCUGAAGAAUUUGAAGAGGUUGAUGCCUUCCUCUUUUUCAUCGUUGCACAUUCUGCAGCCUUGGUCUUCUUCACAUCUAAUGCAGAUGGAAGGAUCAGAGUUGGUGUAGGCGCAGGAGGUGCAUUUUCUUCACGCACAACUGUAGUAGUUGCCCUGACUUGUUCACUUUCUUCAGGCGCACCACUAGUGGGUGCCCUGGCAAUAUCUUCAGCGGCUGGAAUGCAGUCAUCAGCCCUGGUACUUUCAUUUUCUUCAGCAGCCAUACUGACAUCAGCGGUGCUGGCAUGUUCUUUAGUGGGCUGGGCAGAUUCUUCAGCUUGAGGAAUUUCAACAUGCACCGGUGCAGAGGCAGUUGAAGUGAAAGUAUUCGUCAAAUUGACGAACCGAACCUUUGCUCCUUUCCAAUCAGCAUGAUACCGAUUGAAAUCAUCACUCAGUUGCUUGAUUUCAGCUUGUACAGCAAUGAGUUGUUCAGGGGUAAGAGUGAGAACAUUGUCCUUGAGGAAGCGUUGUUUCUUGUAUCGCGGUUUCUUCAGCCUUCUUCCUUCUUCAUAUUUCCACUUCUCUUCCUCAAUGAAGUGAGUGAGGACAUGACUUUGACCAGGAGUGAGGUUCAUCUCCGGCAAAGGUGUAGCGGGUUCCUUGUGCCAUAAGUUAAUGAAAUCGAGGAUCAGCUUGGGAUCCAGAAGUAGUGGAACAUUGCUGCCUUUGGCUCUAGCGGCCCUGGCUUGUCUGUCUCUGAUGAUUUCGGCAAGUUCAUCAUCAUCCGCCUCAUCGUCAUCAGAGGGCACUUGGAAAGCAACUUGCUUCUUGUGAGGACUUGGUCGAAGACCUCGUCCAACAGUUGCCUUUUUCUUCAGUAGUGAGGGACCAGCUGAGGAAGGUCGAGCAGCUGAGGAACUUGCAGAUGCUCCAGAGGCAAUAGAGAAGCCUUGAGUCCUUUGGCACGUGGCAAGAUGCACAGGUGCCGAAGAUUUUGUCGAAGCAGCUGAAGACUUUGUCGGAGGAGGAGGAGGAGCAGACUGAGGAAUUGGCCGUGAGGGCUUUGAAGAUGCUGGCCAUGAGGGCAUUGCUGAGGAGCUUGGACGUGAGGGCAUUGAAGGAGAAGCACUGGACUUAUGGGCAGGCUUCUUUGGCAUAGCCUUCUUGGGCUUACUACCAGAGGCCUCAGCAGCGUUAGCAGCAGCAGCAAAAUCUUCUUUGAAUUUCCUCACUGCUUCUUUUGCUUGUUUGGCUAGUUUGGCCUGGCGCCUGGCCCAUUCAGUAGCAUAGUCCUCACCGCACUUGAGGCUGGUGGGAUCCGCCAGUUGGCCACGUCUCAAUGGAGGUCUUGAGCAUGGAGGGUUGAGCGCGAAUUUCUUCAUGUACUUGGGAGUAACAUACCUGUACUCCCUCCAUUCUCGUGCCCAUCUCCUCUCAAUUCAUUGUAUGCACACCUUGCGCUGAUUCUUGUCCUCGUUGCCAAACUUGGCCUCAUCAGGAGUGCAGUAUCCAGCAUAAAUAUCCUAAGGGAUUUCAAACGCUGUGUUGACCUCAGCCCUUUUUCCUCCCUUCUGUGGCUUCUUGUCAGCCAUUUUCUUCAGCUGAGGAAUAUGAACAACUAAAGUUUCCGAAGAGGUAUGCAAUUUUUCUUCAAGGAACGCUGUAAAUGAGUUAAGUUGAUGAGAACCUAGUGAUUCAGUAGCGGACAUUUUGUACCUGUGAAUAGAGUAUAGUUGCGAGGAAUUUGGAGAGGUCAUAUGCGUUCUCAGAAGGUUUUUCAAAAAGAAUAGAUUUUGAGGAAUUUGACCAGAUGAGUCUUGAGGAAUUUCACUGAGCGUUCUUUGUCUUAGGUUCCAGAGUUGUAAAGAUUUGAAAAUCCACAUAAUUGAGGAAUCUUGAAGAAAAUCAUUGCUUAGAGAAACGAAUCAAGAACACAUAACAUGUGAGGUGUUUUAGUGUGUGAAGAUUUGAAGAAUAAACACCUUUGAAGAUUUUUUUAGGAAAACACAUGAAUCAAAGAGGGUAAUAAAAGCAACUUUUAAUUACCCGAAGUGAAGAACACGACGAACUGGGAAGCGUUGAGAUGAAUUUCGUCCGUUCAGAUCUUCCACACCCUAACUUGGCAGAGGAAGACAACUACGGCGGCGGCGGAGUGAAGAAAUCUGCAACCGACGCGAGUACGACGGCGACGAGGUCGAGGCAGUGAAGCUCUUCCUCACCGACGACGAUGAAGUAGCGGAGGCGCUAGGGUUUGGGAAGCUCGAGCAGGAGAGAGGUCGAGCGGAGUAAAAGUGAAGUGAGGAGAAGACAUGGGUAUUUAUAGCGGUAGUGAAAAAAUUGUGCGCCCGAGGAUUUCGGACGAACGUGCCCCUGGCUUUUCCCAUUCACAUAACAUGUGUCACCCACGUACUGUGAGGUGGUGAUCGUGUAGGAUCGUGGGUGAAUAGAUAAGUAUUUGUCGUGAGAAGCGGAACGGUUUGAGCGGCAAAGCCGAAAAUUCAGAUAAGAUAAGUUUUAAGUUACCAUUCGUAAUUUCUUCAGCUGUUAAGGACACAGUGAAGAUUUUGAACAAGUUUCAAAUCAGAACGCAUAUGAAGAAUUUGUGAAAAGAUUAGAUUGAGUUUAGCACAGAGGGGGAAGGGUCCGAUCACAUUCAAUUAGCGAAAAUAGUCAACUUGAAGAAUUAGCAAUAAGUGAAUGUUGUAGAGGACAUAAAACUCAUAUAUAUGUAUAUAUUCAAAUGAAGACAAACGACGGAAAUAGUGAAGACAUUUGCAAGUUGAAGAAUUUGAAAAACUGAGGAAUUUCAAAAACUGAGGAAAAACUCAAAUUGAAGAUUUUCAACUUUUGUGGUGGCGUAACCCACCGUAUAAGAAAGUUGGCUUCAGACACCGCGUACAAUUGUCGUAGGGCUCUAAGAGUCAAUUUCUUCAUUAAUUUCUUCACACUUAGAGGGUUAGUCUUCAUUGAUUGAAGAAAAACGUUACUUUGUGUGUUGCGCAUCUAAGUCAUCAAGUUAGCAUAAGUGUUAGAUGUGUGUCCAUUUCAGAGAACAUUCGAAGAUUCUAAGAUAUUUAGCUCACACCGCAACUUGCUAAAUCUCUUCUCAUCCAAGGGCUUAGUGAAGAUAUUGGUCAGCUGAUCUUCAGUGCUAGCGUGGUCGAUGGAGAUAUCGCCCUUCAACACAUGAUCACGAAGAAAAUGAUGACGAAUCUGGAUGUGCUUUGUCUUCGAGUGCUGAACUGGGUUAUGAGCAAUUUUGAUUGCACUCUCAUUGUCGCAGUAGAGAGGCACAUUCUUCAUGUUGAUGCCAUAGUCCUUGAGUGUUUGCUUCAUCCAAAGUAAUUGAGCACAACACGAUCUAGCAACAAUGUACUCAGCUUCUGCAGUGGAGAGUGAUACGCAGUUCUGUUUCUUUGAGGACCAACAGACCAAAGAUCGUCCGAGGAAAUGACAUGUGCCUGAUGUUGACUUGCGGUCCACGCGAUCGCCAGCAUAGUCAGAGUCUGAAUAUCCAAUGAGAUCAAGUGAAGAGCCCUUGGGAUACCAUAAUCCAAGUGUUGGUGUGUGAGCUAAGUAUCGAAGAAUAUGCUUCAUAGCCUUAUGGUGUGAUUCCUUCGGUGUAGCUUGAAAUCGGGCACACAUGCAAACACUAAGCAUAAUACCCGGCCUAGAUGCACAUAGGUACAAUAAAGAGCCAAUCAUGGAGUGGUAUACCUUUCGAUCGAAGUCUUUACCAUUUUCAUCAGUGCAUAGAUGGCCAUUUGUGGGCAUUGGAAUUUUGACCCCUUUGCAAUCUUGCAUGCCGAAUUUCCUCAAUACAUCUUUGAGGUAUUUCUCCUGCGAGAUGAAUAUACCAUUGUGUUGUUGACGAAUUUGAAGACCUAAAAAGAAUUUCAACUCUCCCAUCGUAGACAUUUGAUAUUCUUCACUCAUCAUAUAGGCAAAUUCAUCACUAUAGCGUUGGUCAGUACAUCCAAAGAUAAUGUCAUCAACAUAUAUUUGGCACACAAACAAUUCACCAUCAUAAGACUUAGUGAAAAGAGUUGGGUCGAGUGAACCGGGUUUAAAGCCUUUCUUCAUGAAGAAUUCCUUCAAAGUGUCAUACCACGCCCGAGGGGCUUGCUUGAGGCCAUACAGGGCCUUGUUAAGUCUGAAGACUUUGUCGGGAUUCUUUGGAUCUUCAAAACCUGGGGGUUGAGCAACAUAUACUUCUUCCUCAAUCUUGCCAUUGAGGAAUGCACUUUUCAUAUCCAUUUGAUAUAAAGUGAUAUUAUGAUGGUUAGCAUAAGCAAGUAGUAUGCGAAUAGCCUCAAGUCUAGCAACAGGUGCAAAAGUUCCAUCGAAAUCAAUACCCUCAACCUAUGUGUAGCCUUGAGCUACAAGCCGUGCCUUAUUCCUCACCACAAGGCCAUUUUCAUCUUGCUUGUUGCGGUAGAUCCAUUUUGUGCCAAUGAUGGUGUGCUUGCGAGGAUCUGGACGUUUGACCAAUUCCCAGACGUUGUUGAGCUCGAACUGAUGUAAUUCUUCUUGCAUAGCUUGAAUCCACCCAGGCUCCAAAAAUGCUUCAUCUACCUUAGUGGGCUCUGUGAUGGAGACAAAAGCAAAGUGCCCACAAAAGUUAGAUAAAUGUGAAGCUUUUGAGCGUGUGAGAGGACCUGGUGCAUGAAUGUCAUCGAUGAUCUUCUCAGCUUGUACUUCAUUUGCAAUACGAGGAUGAGCGGGUUGUCUUCGAGGAAUUUGAUCCGCAUUUUCUUCAGGAGCAUUUUCCUCAGCACCAUUUUCUUCAGGUGUGCUAGUACGACGUUCAUCACGUUCUGGAAUGAAUUCUUCAACGGAUUCUUCAGUAGGAAUGACAUCCUCAAUGUCCUUGAACUUGAUAGAAUCCUCAGGUGCUGGUUCAUCUAUCACAAAAGGUAGGUGCUCUCUUUGCGAGCCAUUAGUUUCAUCGAACCGCACAUCUACAGUUUCAACAAUCUUGUGAAGAACACUGUUGAAGACUCUGUAGGUGUGCGAGUCCUUUCCGUAACCAAGCAUGAAACCCUCAUGUGCUUUCGGUGCAAAUUUAGAACUGUGAUGUGGAUCUCUAAUCCAACAUUUAGCACCGAAGACUUUGAAGUAACUUACGUUGGGUUUCUUGUCAGUGAGGAGUUCAUAGGCAGUCUUCUUGAAGAAUUUAUGAAGAUAUACUCUGUUGAUGAUGUGGCAAGCAGUAUCAAUUGCAUCAAUCCAAAACUGACGAGGUGUCUUGUAUUCAUCAAGCAUAGUGCGAGCCAUUUCAGCGAGGGUUCUGUUCUUGCGCUCCACGACGCCAUUCUGCUGAGGAGUAUAAGGAGCAGAUAACUCAUGAGUAAUACCAAGUUCAUCAAGAUAGCCAUCAAGACCGGAAUUCUUGAACUCAGUCCCAUUGUCGCUUCUGAUGUGUUUGAUCUUCAUACCAAAGUUGGUUGAAGCCCUCGAGGAAAAUUGUUUGAAGACUUCCUGCACUUCAUGUUUGUAAGUGACAAUAUGUACCCAUGUGUAACGAGAAUAAUCAUCAACAAUAACAAAGCCAUAUAGAGAUGCAUCAUUCGUCAUAGCAGAAUAAUGAUUAGGACCGAAGAGAUCCAUGUGAAGCAAUUCAAAUGGUCGAGUGGUAGUCAUGAUAGUCUUCGCUGGAUGGUUGGCCUUUGUCAUCUUUCCAGCUUCACAAGCACCGCAUAAGUGAUCCUUGAGGAAUUUGACAUUCUCAAUGCCAAUGACAUGCUUCUUCUUCGCAAGCGUGUGCAGAUUCCUCAUGCCAGCAUGACCAAGUCGUCGAUGCCAUAGCCAGCCUUCUGAAGCUUUUGCAAGUAAGCACACGGCAGGCUGUGGUCCUAUAGAGAAAUCAACAAUAUACAGAUCUCCUCUCCUAAAGCCUUCAAAGACUUUGGAAUGGUUAGCUUCCAUGAUCACAACACAACGAUAUCUUCCAAAGACAACAACCAUAUCAAGAUCACAAAGCAUUGAGAAAGACAUGAGGUUGUAUCCUAAGGACUCGACAAGCAUGACUUUGUCCAUGUGUCGAUCCUUUGAGAUCGCAACCUUACCUAGACCCAAUACCUGAUUUUUGCCUUUGCCAGCGAAGAUGAUAUGCUUCAGAUGUGAAGGUGAUAAGGGAGCAUCCAUCAAUAGAUUCUUGUAACCAGCCAUGUGAUUUGUACAUCCACUAUCGAGGACCCACUCAUUUGCUUUGGGUUGAUCAUCCUGCAGAUGAAUUAGUGCAGCUUACAAACUCAUAUACUUCAUUAGUGAAGAAUAUGAUAUCAGUAUCAUCAGUUCAAUCUCAUCAAGAAAUAGCACAGAUAAUUUAGUAUGAGGACGUGAGAAAUGACAAUUCAUUUCUUCAUGAUUAGCCUACGUCCUUUCAGGCAAUGUUCAGGUCUCCAGCAAAUUCUUCAGUCGUUUUGAGCACGACUGGAGACCUGACCCUGCAUAAGAGAUUAGUUCUUUUUCUUUACCACCCACAUCUGGAGGGGUGGCAAAGAAUUCAUCACUCUGCGAGCACCAUAUGAAAAAGGUGGCAUGGACGCCAGUCCACUUUGUUUCAUAUAAGAGGGGUUAGGGUAAGCAUAUGAAUAAGCAGAGAAAUUCUUCGAGGACUUAUGAACAUAAUGAUUUGAAAAAUAAUGCACAUAUUCAUAGCCCUUAGCUCUAUCCUGCAAAACAGAAGGGUUAGUACGAUGAUGAUCAUAUGAGGACUUUGAUCCUUUUGAGGAAUUUGAUCCACGUGAGGAAUUUGGUCCGUAUGAGGACUUGGAUCCAUAUGAAGAAUUUGGUUCAUAUGAAGAAUUUGAUCUGGAGUUCCUUUUCUUCAUUGGUGGUGUCAUGAGGACAUUCACCUGAAGACUUUCAAGGCAACUUUUGGGAACCCAGAUUUUCUUCAUAGGAGAACCGUUCCUGUAGUUAGUCCCAACAUAUCUAGCAAAUACUUCACCAUUUUGAUUUUUGAACAGUUUAUAGUUAGAGUCAAAUGACUCAUCAGAAGAAUGAGGAGAUUCACAUGUAAAGCCAGAUAAGUUGGAUGGAUCAACUGGAGGUCCCUUUGCAGCAACCCAUGAGGUUUUGGGAUACUGCUCAGGCUUCCAAUAUGUUCCAUCAGCAUUGAGUUUCCUCUCAAAGGCAAUACCCUCUUUCCUAGGGUUUCUGUUGAGGAUCUUCUUUUUGAGCACAUCACAAAGAGCCUGAUGCCCUUUGAGGCUUUUGUACAUGCCUAUCAUGUACAAUUCCUUCAGCCCUGCAUCAUCAGUGAUACUUGCAUUGUCCUCGGAUGAGGAAUUAGUGACAGCAGAGACAUAUGAAGAAUUUGUAGCAUUAGAAGCAUUUGAACAUUCAGGUGAAGAAUUAGCAGUUUCACGUUCAAUGCACUUCAGACAUGGAGGAACAAAUUCUUCCUGGGUAGUGCUGAUAUGUUGAGCAAGUAAUGAAUCACGCUCCUUCUGAAGAUCUUCAUAACUCACUCUUAGCUUCUCAAGAUCUUGCUUUCUUUGAGGAAACUCAUAAGAAAGCUUCUCAUGAUCAGAUAAGAGAGUGUUAUGAUGACCUUGAAGGUUGUCAAACUUAGACUGAAGUCUCUGAAGAUUAUCAAUUAAGGUUUUUGUGCGAUCCAUUUCUUCACCCAACAUACCAUCACUUUUGUCUAACAUGUUUUGAAGCUUUUCAAUAGCCUUUUGUUGUUUCACAGCAAUUUUAGCAAGCUGGGCUUGAGAUUUUCAUCAGAUUCAUCCUCACUAGAGUCAGAGGAGGCGUAUUUAGUUACCUUGGCACCCUUUGCCAUGAAGCAAUAGGUGGGAGCGUAGUCAUCAUUGCCUUUAUCAGCAUUGUUGGUGUUGCCAUUUUCUUCAGAGUUGAAGAUAGACUUGCUGACGAAUGCGGUAGCAAGAGCCAGGCUUGCCACACCAGACUCGGACUCCUCGGAUGCCUCCUCUUCCUCAUGAUCCUCAGAUUCAGCCUCAGAGUCCAUUUCCUUACCAAUGAAUGCCCGAGCCUUCUUAGAGCUGCUCUUCUUGUGAGAUGAAGACUUUGAGGAUUUUGAUGAUGAAGACUUUGAAGAUUCCUUCUUCUUUUUGGCAUCAUCAGAACUGUAAUCCUUGUAUUUCUUCUUCUUUAAUUCCUUGUCCCACUGAGGACAAUCUUGAAUGUAGUGACCAGGCUUCUUGCAUUUGUGACACCGUCUUUUCUUGUAGUCACUAGAUGAGGAAUCGUUGCUUCUUGAGGAUUUUCCAAAGCGACCACGUCUUGAGAACUUCUGAAAUUUCUUCACGAGCAGUGCUAGUUCCUGGCUCAGUUCUUCAGGAUCACCAAGGCUGCUGGUAGAGUCUUCUUCCUCAGACUCAUAAACGGCCUUGGCCUUGAAAGCACGUGGUUUGCCAUAGCUCGAACCAUAUAAAUCUCUCUUCUCAGCAAGCUGGAACUCAUGAGUGUUUAGACUCUCGAGGAUAUCAGCGGGAUCAAGUGACUUGUAGUCAGCACGCUCUUGAAUCAUCAGUGCCAGAGUAUCAAAUGAAGAAUCUAGCAAUCUCAUCAAUUUCUUCACCACCUCAUGGUCGGUGAUGUCAGUGGCGCCAAGCGCUUGAAGCUCAUUUGAGAUGUCAGUGAGGCGAUCGAAGGUUUGCUGAACAUUUUCAUUGUCAAGUCUUUUGAAGAGGUUGAAGAGAAUGCGAAGAACGUCAACACGAGAGUCACGUUGAGUUGAGACUCCUUCAUUUACUUUGGACAGCCUAUCCCAGAUAAGCUUGGCAGUUUCCAAAGCACUCACUCUUCCAUACUGUCCUUUGCUCAGAUGACCACAUAUGAUAUUCUUCGCUUGAGAAUCGAGUUGCUUGAAUCUCUUCACAUCAGUAGCGUUCAGAGACGGUGUGACUAAGGGAACACCAUUUUCCACAACAUACCAGAGAUCGUUGUCAAUUGCCUCAAGAUGCAUUCGCAUCUUGUUCUUCCAGUAGGGUUAGUCCGUUCCAUCGAAGGUAGGACAUCCAGCAGAGACCUUGAUCAUACCUGCGGUCGACAUAACUAAAACUCCAGGCGGUUAAACCAAAAUCACACAGAACAAGGGAGUACCUUGCUCUGAUACCAAUUGAAAGUGCGUUAUAUCGACUAGAGGGGGGUGAAUAGGCGAUUUUUAUGAAUUCUUCACUAAGGAAUUUGCUGAUGAGGAAAUUCCUAAAUGAAAAACUACUUGCAGCGGAAUAAGUACUCAGAAAGGAACAUAAUAAAACACAACCGCAGUCAUCAUGAUGAAAUAAAGACAAGCACAGAGUACAGAAAGCGUAAAUACAGGAUAACACAAGAUGAAGACAGACAGACUGAAGAAAUUGAACUGAGGAAGUUGAGAAAGUCUUCAAACAGAUAUGAACAGGCACACAGCAACAUACAUGAGGAAAUGAAAGAGUUGAGGAAAUAGAACCAGUUAGCUCGGUGAAGACAAUGAUUUGGUAGACCAGUUCCAACUGCUGUCUCAGUUGUACAUCUGGUUGGAGCGGCUGAGUAUUUAAACUCGAGGACACCCAGUCCCGGACACACAGUCCCCACCGUAUUCUCCUUGAGCUAAGGUCACACAGACCUCGCCCAAUCACUCGUGGUAAGUCUUCAGGUGACUUCCAAACCUUCACAAACUUGGUCACUCGGCGAUCCACAAUUCCUCUUGGAUGCUCUAGACCUUGACGCCUAACCGUCUGGAAGAAGCACAGUCUUCAAAGGAAAGAAGUGUCCGAUCCACGCAGGAUCAAUCUCUUCAGUGAUGCUCAAUCAUCUGGGGGUUUGUAGGUUUGGGUUUGGGUUUUCCUCACUUGAUGAUUUUCCCUCAAAGUCCUCGGAGGAUGGGUUGCUCUCAAAUGACAAGUGUCAGUUUCUCUCGGAGCAGCCAACCAGCUAGUGGUUGAAGGGGGCGGCUAUUUAUAGCCCAGGGAGCAGCCCGACAUGAUAAGACAUAAAUGCCCUUGUCUGAUAUGACCGUUAGGUGGGUAGAUAUUUUGGAACCGCUGGCGCGUAGCACAGCAACGGUCGGAAUUUUGACUAUCAAAAUCCUCAGGGCUAUCAUGUUCCUCAUUGUGUAGGCAAUUCACACUGGUGAAUUCCUAACUCCUGAGUCAGAACAAAUUCCUCAGAGAUUAGAAGAAUUCGUCUCUGUCACUGAAGAAUAUGACUGAACUGUGUGAGAUUUCCAAUGGCUUCACUCGAAGGGAUUGGUAGGUGUAGGAUUUUGAGUUGAGCAUCACAUGGAAAAUUUUCCUUAGUAUUUCCUUGACCCCCUUUAACAGUACGAUGUUUCCUAUGACUCAAGAAAGAGAAAAUGAAACUAUAAAAACAAAAGUCUUCAUGCUUCAUGUUCCUUGAAAGAAUACCAAGUCUUCAAGGUCACACCAAUUUCUUCACUUUCAAAGUUUUCAGUAAGUCUUCAGAAAGUCUUCAGAAAUCCAAAGUCUUCAGAUGAAGAACUUCAUUUUUAGGGGUCGACAUUCUCUGUAAAUAUCAAACUCAUCAUAGAAUUAUAUACCUGUGUACACUCACAAACGCAUCAGUCCCUUAACCUAUAAGUCUUCAAUACACCAAAAUCACUAAGGGGCACUAGAUGCACUUACGUGGUGGAACACCGACAGCGCUUCGCUAAGCGUCGUCGGGACGAGGCGAUGGAACUACGGAAUAACGGGAGAGAGGGGACGCCAAGGGCUUGGUGUGUCCUCUUGGGGCGCCCCUCCCCACUAUACAUAGGUAGAGGGGUGUGGUAAACAGCCCCUCCAAGCCUUAGGGCGCAGCUAAGGGGGAGAGGACUUGGACUCCAAGUCCAAUCCUAUUCAAUUCCUACUAGGACUUCUUCCUUUUUUGCCUUCUCUAGCAACAUGGGCUUUUGAGGACUUAGUGCGCCUAGACAAAUAAGGCCAGGGCGCCUACCCACAACCCAUGCUAGCCCUUGGGUCAUGAUGGAACCACUUGUGGACUUCUGGACCCCUCCGAAAUCCUCCGGAACCUUCUGGAAGCUUCCCAGUACAAUACCGAAAAAACUGCAUCUUUUUCCGGAACCGAAAAUAUGACUCCCUAUAUAUAAAUCUUUACCUCUCGACCAUUCCGAGACUCCUCGUGACGUCCGGGAUCUCAUACGAGACUCCGAACAACAUUUGGUUACCACUCAUCAAAUAACCCAAUACUCUAGCGUCAACGAACGUUAAGCGUGCGACCCAGCGGGUUCGGGAAUUGUGUAGUCAUGACUGAGACACCUCUCUGGUCAAUAACCAAUAGCGGAACCUGGAUGCCCAUAUAGAUUCCUACAUAUUCUACGAAAAUCUUUUAUCGGUUGAACCUUUAUGACAACAUACGUAAUUCCCUUUGUCUGUUGUUAUGUUACUUGCCCGAGAUUUGAUCGUCGGUACCUCUAUACCUAGUUCUAUCUUAUUACCGGCAGGUCUCUUUACUCGUUCUGUAAUACAUCAUCUUGCAACUAACUUCUUAGUCACUUUGCUUGCAAGCUUCUUGUGACGUGUAUUACCGAGAGGGCCCAGAGAUACCUCUCCAAUACACGGAGUGACAAAUCCCAAUCUCGAUUCACAACAACUCAACAGACACCUUCGAAGAUACCUACAGAGCAUAUUUAUGAUCACCCAGUUAGAUUGUGAUGUUUGAUAGCACACAAGGUAUUCCUCCAGUAUCCGGGAGUUGCAUGAUCUCAUGGUCGAAGAAACAUGUAUUUGACAUUAAGAAAGCAGUAGCAGUAAACUGAACGAUCAUAUGUUAUGCUAAUGGUUGGAUCUUGUCCAUCACAUCAUUCUCCUAAUGAUGUGAUCCCGUUAUCAAAUGACAACACAUGUCUAUGGUUACGAAACCUUAACCAUCUUUGAUUAACGAGUUAGUCUGGUAGAGGCUCACUAGGGAUACGGUAUUUGUUUACGUAUUCACAUAGUAUUUAAGUUUCUGAACAAUAUAAUUCUAGCAUGAAUAAUAAAUCUUUAUCGUGAUUUAGGAAAUAUAAUAAUAACCAUUUUAUUAUUGCCUCUAGGGUAUAUUUCCAUCAUUUCUGUGGGAGGGCUUGUGUGGGGAUAUAUAGCCUUUGUCCCCCCUCCCACCUCAAACACAUACUAUUAUAGAAUUUAUCAAAAGAACAUAUCAAUAAGUUUAAUUUUUCAACAAUCUAACAAUUAAAAAAUAAUUUACCAAUUGUCAGUUCGAAUGAAUCCAUAAUAAUCACUAGUCAUUCGUUUCAAUUUAUCAAUUCUGAGUUUCAAUUUGUGAUCGUGAUUAAAUAUUUGAACAUUGAAGGCAAAAUCUUACUUUCAAUUGAAGAAGAUGGAAAUGAUACUUUGAACUGGAGAGAUGAGAAGUGGGUGGAGUUCCUGCCUCGGUCUACCAGUCGGCGCACAUGCCCGUGCCAAACUUGUUCAAGUCAUUCAGUUGAAGGAUCGCGCCUGCCGUAGCCAGGAUUUCUGGUCAGGGUGGUCCAAUUAAUAUUAAGAAAAUGUUUACACUAAAUACACAACACACUAGCACAGGUGCAUCUAUUUGCUAAACCUGCCCCCCACCCCACCCCACCCCACCCCCCGCGUGCUUUGAAUCAAUUUAUGAUAUUUUUAUGGGAAUUACAUGGGGAAAAUGAGCAUUUCCCUUCGUCAAAUAUUCAUAUUGUGCCUUUGGCCCUGUCUCGGCAGAUGAUGUCAAAAGUUAACAUUUCAAUAAGUUUAAUUUUGUACAAGUCUACGAUAAAAAAGUUAAUUUAUCAACUGAUAAUUUGAAUAAAGCCAUAAUAAUUGUUAAUCAGUCGACUGAAUUAUCAGUUCCGAGUUUCAAUUUGCACUCACAAUUAACUUAUUCGAACCUCGAAGGCAAAAUCAUACUGUGAAUUGAAGAAGAUAGAAAUCAUAUUUUGAAUCGGAGAAAUGAGGAGUUGGUGGAGUUCCUGCCUUAGUCCCCUAGUAGGCGCACACAUGCUUGUGAAUAUGUCAGCAACGGAUUCAUGCCAUGGAGCCGCAGAAGGGACAUCGGCGCCCAAAAGCCUGACUCGAGUAAUCAUUUAUUUGGUACCGCUAAAAGAGCGGGACUGCCAUUCUAUCUUGGGGGAUUCCAUCCACAAACACGAAGUUUGUUGGCUUUGGACUUGAGCGUAUGUUGUGGCUUGCCUGGUUUUAUUUAUAACUAUACUGAAGUAUUGGUCGAUUUAUAGGAUGGUCCAUGGACCAUCGUGUCCACGGUGCAGAUACACCACUGGAGAGACACAUGUGAGUCACUGUCAUGCAUCACUUUGAUUGUUAACCCUGUUUUACAAGCCAUGUUUCGCUAACGGAUAGUUACAUUCUUGAGGUUAUUGAUUGCAGAUGUUUCCCGACAAUAUUUGUUCAAACAGUUUCGCCAAAGUACAUCUAGAUGUGCCAUAAGUAUUGCACAUUUAAGUCUUAUGUCAUUGAUUUUACGCGAAGGUUCGUGUGGGUAUUUUUUUUUUCAAACUUGAUUGUGUCACUUAGAUGUGCAAUAAUUAUGGCACAUUUAGAUGUGACAAACCCUCUCCAAUUGUACUAUAUCAAUACAUAAGAUAUGGUGGUGAUUGCCCGGAUAAACUUCUCAACCCACCGAUCCAGCAUCCUAUCUGCCAAUUGAGCACUAGUCCCUGCCAAAAUUUACUAGCGGCAGUAAGAAGACCAAAAUGGGGAAGGCGUUACUUCAAAUCCAAGCACGUUCAUGAGGAAAAGGUGAAAAGAAUCCUCAUUAGAUAGUGAAAUAGAACGUGAAACCGUGCUGUAAACCGUUGCAAAUCGUUUUUCUUGGUUCCUCCUGCCCCAAGAAAAAUUAGGGUUUCUCUGCCUCCUGCCACCGCCGCCGGUCUGCUUUGUCUUUGGUGGCCAUAGGACCAUAGGGGUGUGAUAGAUCCGGCCUUUGCCGAUGGGAGGGCUUUGCUUUUUGACUUUUUUUAGUUUUCUAGGGUCUUUGUCCUGCUCAGGAAGAUGUGACAGCGGCGGCUCCUUGAAGAUGUAAUAAGGUUCUUCCCACCUAGCCCCCGUUCCGGUGGUGCGUCUAAUCAUCGUCGGUGGACAUGUGAAUGUAUGUCUCCGAUGGAUCUGUCUUUUGUAGAUCUGCUCGGAUUUUAUCGUUGUUUGACUAUGUUCGUGCAUCUUUCGGUUGGAUCCUUUCGAUCGAAGCUACUUUUCAUCGACAGCGGUUGUUGUUCUGAUGUGUUAGUCUUAUGAUGCCUUAACAUAGCGACUUUUCUAACACGACGACUUCUAUUUUUAUUAUUUUUAGUUUUUGUUUGUACUGCCAUGAUUGAAGAUGAACACUACCUCCGUUCUGGUAUAUUAGUUCCCUUUAUAUUCUGUUCCAAAUUUUAACCUUAAAUUUAACUAAUAAAAUGUUACUGCAUAUUAUAAAAUAUAAUAUAAAUGAAAACUAUAUUUAAAUACAAAUCCAACGAUAUAAUUUUUAGUGAUAUGCAUUUAUAUUUUAUUAGUUAAAUCUCUAGUCAAAAUUUGGCACAAAAUACAAACAGAACCUAUAAACGAGGACGGAGUACAUCGAAAGUUUUAUAAAAAAAAUCAAGUACGGCGUGACCUUCUAGUGGUGAAAUCGAAGUUGCCGGCGUGCACAAUGGGCGAUUUACGAUGACGCGUUGGUGUACCCUCCCGCGUGUCAUGUGUUACACCGACGUCUUGCAUGUCUUGUGAUGCUCACUUUUUGCGGGUCUUUCACUAAUCCAAUCUCUUCUCAAAUCUCAAAGCACUUACUCCUCACAGAGGGAGUACAUCGUACGGUGUCCACCUCGGUGGCAAACUAUUUUCCAAAUCUAAAACUUCAAAUAUGUUGAAACAAAGGGAUUAUGUGUUUAAACCUGACUGAUGCCAUCUAGCUACAGUCCCAACAUUCGGGUCACAGAUAUGCUAUCACUUAGCUGCACGGCACGGCUGGGCAGGACCAAAAUGCAAAAGAGACGUCACAGUCCAAUUAGAGCAAGUCAAUUCUGCCAAGAGUUAGGUUGCUUGGUGAGACUGUUACAUCGUAAUUCAUCGUACCAACACAUAGAUAUUGUUCCUAUCACAAAGUUGGGUUCGACUUUUAAAGGGUUCUAAUGAAUACAACAGUGUUUUAGCUGAAGCUCGGGCUGGUUCAGUUUUCAGUGACUAGAAUCUAGAUUUGUGUUCAGAUACAAUGCCAGUGCAAUGCAAGAAUGCAAAAUGUUCUGAUCCAACAAAGCCAAUGGGGUGUUGCAACUUCUCAUAGCAGAAAUGAGCGGGUGUAUGUGUUUAUUAUCAGAUCCUAGGAACCAGCUGUGGACUCAUUUCCCGUAUGGGUGGUACCUGCCCGAGCCUCGACCACUCGCACUUCCACCACCACCCAUGCUUCCAGCUCCCCCAUAGCCACCAUACCCGCCUGCACCUGCACCAUAGCCGCCAGGUGCACCAUAUGCGCCACCUCCGUAGGCACCCCCAUAUGCCCCAUAGGCACCAUACGGGCCUCCAUAUAUAGAACCACCAUAAGCAGAGCCAAAACCUGACCCAUAGGCAGGGUUACCUCCAUAUGCACCAUACCCUCUACCGUAGGCACCAUAUCCUGCACUACCAUAGUAGGCAGCUGCAGCUGAUCGGUAGUCAGCUCCAUACCCAUAACCACUGCUGCUGCUGAUGGCAGAACGGCCUCCACCACCACCACCACCACCACCUCCACCGCGGUAUGAACUACGGUGGCCACCUCCUCCAUGGCUAUGUCUACUGUUAGAGCUUGAAUCACCACCACCAGGUUUCUUUGGCUCGGCUCUUUUUAUUUCAACCUGC